rnacentral:rRNA from 1 species
GAUUAAGUUAUUAAGGGCGCACGGUGGAUGCCUUGGCACUAGAAGCCGAUGAAGGACGUUACUAACGACGAUAUGCUUUGGGGAGCUGUAAGUAAGCUUUGAUCCAGAGAUUUCCGAAUGGGGAAACCCAGCAUGAGUUAUGUCAUGUUAUCGAUAUGUGAAUACAUAGCAUAUCAGAAGGCACACCCGGAGAACUGAAACAUCUUAGUACCCGGAGGAAGAGAAAGAAAAUUCGAUUCCCUUAGUAGCGGCGAGCGAAACGGGAAGAGCCCAAACCAACAAGCUUGCUUGUUGGGGUUGUAGGACACUCUAUACGGAGUUACAAAGGACGACAUUAGACGAAUCAUCUGGAAAGAUGAAUCAAAGAAGGUAAUAAUCCUGUAGUCGAAAAUGUUGUCUCUCUUGAGUGGAUCCUGAGUACGACGGAGCACGUGAAAUUCCGUCGGAAUCUGGGAGGACCAUCUCCUAAGGCUAAAUACUCUCUAGUGACCGAUAGUGAACCAGUACCGUGAGGGAAAGGUGAAAAGCACCCCGGAAGGGGAGUGAAAUAGAACCUGAAACCGUGUGCUUACAAGUAGUCAGAGCCCGUUAAUGGGUGAUGGCGUGCCUUUUGUAGAAUGAACCGGCGAGUUACGAUUUGAUGCAAGGUUAAGCAGUAAAUGUGGAGCCGUAGCGAAAGCGAGUCUGAAUAGGGCGUUUAGUAUUUGGUCGUAGACCCGAAACCAGGUGAUCUACCCUUGGUCAGGUUGAAGUUCAGGUAACACUGAAUGGAGGACCGAACCGACUUACGUUGAAAAGUGAGCGGAUGAACUGAGGGUAGCGGAGAAAUUCCAAUCGAACCUGGAGAUAGCUGGUUCUCUCCGAAAUAGCUUUAGGGCUAGCCUCAAGUGAUGAUUAUUGGAGGUAGAGCACUGUUUGGACGAGGGGCCCCUCUCGGGUUACCGAAUUCAGACAAACUCCGAAUGCCAAUUAAUUUAACUUGGGAGUCAGAACAUGGGUGAUAAGGUCCGUGUUCGAAAGGGAAACAGCCCAGACCACCAGCUAAGGUCCCAAAAUAUAUGUUAAGUGGAAAAGGAUGUGGCGUUGCCCAGACAACUAGGAUGUUGGCUUAGAAGCAGCCAUCAUUUAAAGAGUGCGUAAUAGCUCACUAGUCGAGUGACACUGCGCCGAAAAUGUACCGGGGCUAAACAUAUUACCGAAGCUGUGGAUUGUCCUUUGGACAAUGGUAGGAGAGCGUUCUAAGGGCGUUGAAGCAUGAUCGUAAGGACAUGUGGAGUGCUUAGAAGUGAGAAUGCCGGUGUGAGUAGCGAAAGACGGGUGAGAAUCCCGUCCACCGAUUGACUAAGGUUUCCAGAGGAAGGCUCGUCCGCUCUGGGUUAGUCGGGUCCUAAGCUGAGGCCGACAGGCGUAGGCGAUGGAUAACAGGUUGAUAUUCCUGUACCACCUAUAAUCGUUUUAAUCGAUGGGGGGACGCAGUAGGAUAGGCGAAGCGUGCGAUUGGAUUGCACGUCUAAGCAGUAAGGCUGAGUAUUAGGCAAAUCCGGUACUCGUUAAGGCUGAGCUGUGAUGGGGAGAAGACAUUGUGUCUUCGAGUCGUUGAUUUCACACUGCCGAGAAAAGCCUCUAGAUAGAAAAUAGGUGCCCGUACCGCAAACCGACACAGGUAGUCAAGAUGAGAAUUCUAAGGUGAGCGAGCGAACUCUCGUUAAGGAACUCGGCAAAAUGACCCCGUAACUUCGGGAGAAGGGGUGCUCUUUAGGGUUAACGCCCAGAAGAGCCGCAGUGAAUAGGCCCAAGCGACUGUUUAUCAAAAACACAGGUCUCUGCUAAACCGUAAGGUGAUGUAUAGGGGCUGACGCCUGCCCGGUGCUGGAAGGUUAAGAGGAGUGGUUAGCUUCUGCGAAGCUACGAAUCGAAGCCCCAGUAAACGGCGGCCGUAACUAUAACGGUCCUAAGGUAGCGAAAUUCCUUGUCGGGUAAGUUCCGACCCGCACGAAAGGCGUAACGAUUUGGGCACUGUCUCAACGAGAGACUCGGUGAAAUCAUAGUACCUGUGAAGAUGCAGGUUACCCGCGACAGGACGGAAAGACCCCGUGGAGCUUUACUGUAGCCUGAUAUUGAAAUUCGGCACAGCUUGUACAGGAUAGGUAGGAGCCUUUGAAACGUGAGCGCUAGCUUACGUGGAGGCGCUGGUGGGAUACUACCCUAGCUGUGUUGGCUUUCUAACCCGCACCACUUAUCGUGGUGGGAGACAGUGUCAGGCGGGCAGUUUGACUGGGGCGGUCGCCUCCUAAAAGGUAACGGAGGCGCUCAAAGGUUCCCUCAGAAUGGUUGGAAAUCAUUCAUAGAGUGUAAAGGCAUAAGGGAGCUUGACUGCGAGACCUACAAGUCGAGCAGGGUCGAAAGACGGACUUAGUGAUCCGGUGGUUCCGCAUGGAAGGGCCAUCGCUCAACGGAUAAAAGCUACCCCGGGGAUAACAGGCUUAUCUCCCCCAAGAGUUCACAUCGACGGGGAGGUUUGGCACCUCGAUGUCGGCUCAUCGCAUCCUGGGGCUGUAGUCGGUCCCAAGGGUUGGGCUGUUCGCCCAUUAAAGCGGUACGCGAGCUGGGUUCAGAACGUCGUGAGACAGUUCGGUCCCUAUCCGUCGUGGGCGUAGGAAAUUUGAGAGGAGCUGUCCUUAGUACGAGAGGACCGGGAUGGACAUACCUCUGGUGUACCAGUUGUCGUGCCAACGGCAUAGCUGGGUAGCUAUGUGUGGACGGGAUAAGUGCUGAAAGCAUCUAAGCAUGAAGCCCCCCUCAAGAUGAGAUUUCCCAACUUCGGUUAUAAGAUCCCUCAAAGAUGAUGAGGUUAAUAGGUUCGAGGUGGAAGCAUGGUGACAUGUGGAGCUGACGAAUACUAAUCGAUCGAAGACUUAAUCAA